rnacentral:rRNA from 1 species
GGCCAAUGGGGGCAUGCUUUACCAUGCAGUCGACGGCAGCACGGGCUUCGGCCUGGUGGCGAGUGGCGAACGGGUGAGUAAUACAUCGGAACGUACCCAGAAGUGGGGGAUAACGUAGCGAAAGUUACGCUAAUACCGCAUACGUUCUACGGAAGAAAGUGGGGGAUCGCAAGACCUCAUGCUUUUGGAGCGGCCGAUGUCUGAUUAGCUAGUUGGUGAGGUAAAGGCUCACCAAGGCGACGAUCAGUAGCUGGUCUGAGAGGACGACCAGCCACACUGGAACUGAGACACGGUCCAGACUCCUACGGGAGGCAGCAGUGGGGAAUUUUGGACAAUGGGCGCAAGCCUGAUCCAGCAAUGCCGCGUGAGUGAAGAAGGCCUUCGGGUUGUAAAGCUCUUUUGUCAGGGAAGAAACGGCAGGGGCUAAUAUCCUUUGCUAAUGACGGUACCUGAAGAAUAAGCACCGGCUAACUACGUGCCAGCAGCCGCGGUAAUACGUAGGGUGCAAGCGUUAAUCGGAAUUACUGGGCGUAAAGCGUGCGCAGGCGGUUUUGUAAGUCUGACGUGAAAGCCCCGGGCUCAACCUGGGAAUUGCGUUGGAGACUGCAAGGCUUGAAUCUGGCAGAGGGGGGUAGAAUUCCACGUGUAGCAGUGAAAUGCGUAGAGAUGUGGAGGAACACCGAUGGCGAAGGCAGCCCCCUGGGUCAAGAUUGACGCUCAUGCACGAAAGCGUGGGGAGCAAACAGGAUUAGAUACCCUGGUAGUCCACGCCCUAAACGAUGUCUACUAGUUGUCGGGUUUUAAUUAACUUGGUAACGCAGCUAACGCGUGAAGUAGACCGCCUGGGGAGUACGGUCGCAAGAUUAAAACUCAAAGGAAUUGACGGGGACCCGCACAAGCGGUGGAUGAUGUGGAUUAAUUCGAUGCAACGCGAAAAACCUUACCUACCCUUGACAUGUCAGGAAUCCUUGAGAGAUCGGGGAGUGCCCGAAAGGGAGCCUUGAACACAGGUGCUGCAUGGCUGUCGUCAGCUCGUGUCGUGAAGAUGUUGGGGUUAGUCCCGCACGAGCGCAACCU